UUAGCGGCGGACGGGUGAGUAACACGUGGAUAACCUACCUAUAAGACUGGGAUAACUUCGGGAAACCGGAGCUAAUACCGGAUAAUAUUUUGAACCGCAUGGUUCAAAAGUGAAAGACGGUCUUGCUGUCACUUAUAGAUGGAUCCGCGCUGCAUUAGCUAGUUGGUAAGGUAACGGCUUACCAAGGCAACGAUGCAUAGCCGACCUGAGAGGGUGAUCGGCCACACUGGAACUGAGACACGGUCCAGACUCCUACGGGAGGCAGCAGUAGGGAAUCUUCCGCAAUGGGCGAAAGCCUGACGGAGCAACGCCGCGUGAGUGAUGAAGGUCUUCGGAUCGUAAAACUCUGUUAUUAGGGAAGAACAUAUGUGUAAGUAACUGUGCACAUCUUGACGGUACCUAAUCAGAAAGCCACGGCUAACUACGUGCCAGCAGCCGCGGUAAUACGUAGGUGGCAAGCGUUAUCCGGAAUUAUUGGGCGUAAAGCGCGCGUAGGCGGUUUUUUAAGUCUGAUGUGAAAGCCCACGGCUCAACCGUGGAGGGUCAUUGGAAACUGGAAAACUUGAGUGCAGAAGAGGAAAGUGGAAUUCCAUGUGUAGCGGUGAAAUGCGCAGAGAUAUGGAGGAACACCAGUGGCGAAGGCGACUUUCUGGUCUGUAACUGACGCUGAUGUGCGAAAGCGUGGGGAUCAAACAGGAUUAGAUACCCUGGUAGUCCACGCCGUAAACGAUGAGUGCUAAGUGUUAGGGGGUUUCCGCCCCUUAGUGCUGCAGCUAACGCAUUAAGCACUCCGCCUGGGGAGUACGACCGCAAGGUUGAAACUCAAAGGAAUUGACGGGGACCCGCACAAGCGGUGGAGCAUGUGGUUUAAUUCGAAGCAACGCGAAGAACCUUACCAAAUCUUGACAUCCUUUGACAACUCUAGAGAUAGAGCUUUCCCCUUCGGGGGACAAAGUGACAGGUGGUGCAUGGUUGUCGUCAGCUCGUGUCGUGAGAUGUUGGGUUAAGUCCCGCAACGAGCGCAACCCUUAAGCUUAGUUGCCAUCAUUAAGUUGGGCACUCUAAGUUGACUGCCGGUGACAAACCGGAGGAAGGUGGGGAUGACGUCAAAUCAUCAUGCCCCUUAUGAUUUGGGCUACACACGUGCUACAAUGGACAAUACAAAGGGCAGCGAAACCGCGAGGUCAAGCAAAUCCCAUAAAGUUGUUCUCAGUUCGGAUUGUAGUCUGCAACUCGACUACAUGAAGCUGGAAUCGCUAGUAAUCGUAGAUCAGCAUGCUACGGUGAAUACGUUCCCGGGUCUUGUACACACCGCCCGUCACA
rnacentral:rRNA from 1 species